rnacentral:lncRNA from 10 species
UUCUUCUCGUCUGUCGCCAUGUGAGAUGUACCUUUCACUUUCCUCCAUGAUUGUGAGGCCUCCUUAGCCACAUGGAACUUGACCCCCACCUUUACAAGUGUCUGUAAUUCUCACUAGCAGUAUAUUAGAGGGCAAAAGAUUUGAACAGACACAUCAGAAAAGAAGACAUACAAAUGGCCGCUAAGCACUUGAAAGGAUUCUGAACACCAUUAGUCAUCAGUGAAAUGCAAAUUAAAGCCAUAAUGAAUGGCGCUAUACAUUUUCAGAAUGGCAAGGAUUGAAGACCGAAAAAAAUCAAGCGUUGAGGAGAGUGACAAAUGGGGAGACAGCCGUGGUGCAUGAUCGCCGAAUAAAUACCAUGUGAGGAUACAGCAAGAAGGUGGCCAUCUACAAGCCAAGGAGACAGGCCUCAGAAGAAACCAACCCUUCUUACACCCUGGACUCAGACUUCUAAUCUCCAGAACUAAGGGAUAACAGAAGAUACACCCUUUAGCAAAUUGUGUUAAUGCACAAGGUCUUGUGUUGAAAAUGUAGAGCCACGAGAUAAAAGCAGCUUGGAUGGCUGACUCAUAUACAAGGACAACUGCCUGAGAGUCACCAGGGCUAUCAAGAAGUUUGCAGAAACAAGAAAUAAACUUUUACUGUUUUAAACUUUUGUGAAUUUUGGGUUUUGUUUAUCACCAAAUAAACCUAGUCUAUUCUGAUUGUUAUAAGUGGUUAAUUUGGGAAGUCAGAUAUAUUUAAAAUUGGCUUACUGCUGUAACAUAUACAGUCCAAAUUACAUAAUGGCUCAAAUGCAAUAGAAGUCUUUUUUUUUUUUGCUCACAUAUCACUUCACUGAGAUUCUGCAUUAAUUGUAAUGAUGAGGGUGAGGGUGUCUUAUAUCAUACAGUUGUUCAGCAACCCAGGAUGACCAACUUUGUAAUAUUUUUUCCCACUGGCUUCUAAAGUUCUCAUAGAUAGUAAAAUUCAUUUGGAAGAAGGAGAAACAGCAUGGAGGAUUGCAGAUGGAGAUUUUUAUGGGAAGGCUUGGAGGUUUGGAGGUUACACAUUACUACUUUUACUUGUUGGCUAGGAAACUAUCACGUGGUCACACCUAAGUGCCAGUGAGUCUGACAAUGUGGCAAUUUGGUUGCGGGCCAGGGGUAAGAGGCAAUAAAUUUUGCUCAAUAAUUAUCAGUUUUUGCCACAGAUGGAGGGACUUUUCAUUGUAUAACUAGUUGUUACUGUUUGAAUUUAAAACAGGAAAAUAUCAUUUUCAAAUAAAAACACAAAAGUGGCACAAAAAAUUCUUAUGAUUUUUUUUGCUUGAAUUUUGUGCAUUUAUUUGGCUAUUAUUAAAGUAAAUAAUUCUCUUUAUAGAAAAUGUAGAAAAUAACAAAAAAUAAAUAAGCAGAAAGUCAUCCAAUAACCCCCAUGAUCCCAGCAUAAUAAUCUUUUUUAAGGUAACUGAAAUGACCAUCCUUCUUUUACAAUUGCAAACGCUAACACCCAGGGAUUUUAAGAAAUUUGUCAACUCUAGUAAGUGGUAGAGCACAGAGAAAAGAAAAGCCAGGGAAGCUUUUACAGAGCAGGAGACAAGGAUAGAAAAGGACUUAUGAAUGGGGAAACACAAUUGACAAAUUAUUUUAAAAUAUUGCAGGUUUAAUCGCAUGGAGAGAGAGAGCAUAGAACACGAGAAAUAUACCAAAACAA